rnacentral:rRNA from 1 species
UACGUAGGGGGCAAGCGUUGUCCGGAAUCAUUGGGCGUAAAGCGCGUGUAGGCGGUUCGGUAAGUCGGCUGUGAAAGUCCAGGGCUCAACCCUGGGAUGCCCGGUCGAUACUGCCGGACUAGAGUUCGGAAGAGGCGAGUGGAAUUCCCGGUGUAGCGGGUGAAAUGCGCAGAUAUCGGGAGGAACACCAAUGGCGAAGGCAGCUCGCUGGGACGUUACUGACGCUGAGACGCGAAAGCGUGGG